UUCCCCAGAGCAAAGGGCUGGAGGACAAGGAGAACCUGGACAAGUAUCGAAAUCCGCAGCAAACCAGAACCUUUCGCCGCCCUUACAACGUCCGUAGGCGACCCAAAGAGCAGAGUGUCAAGAUCGAGGAGGUUAAAGAGCUCCAGAACAAAACUGUCGAUAAACCCCCCGCGACAGCAGCUACCCCCCAGCCGCCGGCUGCACCCAGCGAGUGAGUGAAGGCCUGUGUCAGGCAUCCAGCCCCUCCCGCCCAGCUGGAUGCAGUGGUUUCCAAACGCAUAAUAAUGACCCGGACAGAAUUCUGCAAAACAAUAUGGCUUCCCCCGCUUCAGCCAGGAAAUCCAGGAGGGGGCAGUGGAGAGAGUAAACGUAGAAGGCUUCAAAAACACGUGAUGAGGCACCCCUCACCCCCGGCCCCUGAAAAGUAUCGCCCCCUCCAACAAACCCGCAGGAUCGAAAAGGAGAAAUGAAUAAAAUUCACGCCAUUUUUAAGUAAAAAUCGCUCUUUCUAUGUUGAUAAUGGAGAUUUCCUAUGUAAACGGUCACGCUACAGCGCCACCAGUGGCAGUAUGGUGCAGUUGCAGCGUGACAUGUUUACAUAGCGAGUUCCCAUAUGAUGGUUUGCCCUCCUCCCCGCCGAUUUCCUUUAUAAACAGUCACGCCACAGCGCCACCAGCAGCAGUAAAGAGGAGUUGCAGCGUGACAUGUUUACAUAGAGAGUUCCCACAUAUUGGUUCCCCGUGCGUAAACCAACGUGUGGGAGCUGGCUAUGUAAACGUGUCACGCUGCAACUGCUGCUUGCGGCCACUGGUGGAGCUGUAGCGUGACUGUUCACAAAAGAAAUUGGGGUGGGGAAACCAACACAUGGGAACUCACCACGUAAACAUGUCACGCUGCAACUGCAUGCGGUGGGAGUGUGUGGUCAUACUUACCCGACUUUUAUGCUUGUUUCCCAUUAUUAACGUGGACAGAUGGAGUUUAUCAUGAACACGGCCUAUGUAAACAUGCCACAUGUGGCGACGCCCUCCAGUCAUGGUGGGGGCGCUGUGACUUGACACGUUGACAUUGCAAGAGCUUAGUAUUCACGCAUCCCUGCGUACAACAGGUAAUAUCGGCCCGGAUGGGAUAAAGAAACGAGAUCUCUAAUAUUGGAUAUUUUAAUGUUAGUUUUGAUUUGAAACUUGGUAAAACAUCCUUCUCUGGAGCUAUUUUCAAGCUUCAUCCUUUGUCACCUGAACUGUGUGUAACAUCCGAAUAGAAUAAAGCAGAGGUCAUG